UCCUGAGUGAUGUCUGGAAGAUGCUACAUUCAAUUUUUCCUCUCCAGGCUGAAAGAUGGAAAACCCAGCAAAGAUAGAAGUGUCCUGGGUCCGACAUGCACCUCACCAAGAAGAAGUCAUGCUCUAGUGUUUGUCAUUGCUACUCCCUUGCUCUGCAGACCCCAGAUAACAAGUACUGACAGAAGAGCUUGUGCACACAGAGCAGUAUCUUCGUGGAGCUGUGCAAAGAAGGCAGCACCAGCACAGGCAGAUUACAACUGGGAUCCAGCAGGUGGUGACUGUUACAAGCCAGUGUCAAAUCAUUCUGAUGCCAACCAGCAAAUCAUUGGUAUAGAAUCACAGAGUGGUUUGGGCUGGACCUUAAAGAUCACUUACUUCCAACCCCCCUGCCAUGGGCAGGGACACCUCCCUCUAGAUCAGCUUGUCCAAAGCCCCAUCCAACUUGGCCUUGAACGCCUUCAGGGAGGGGGCAUCCAUCUCUGGAUGCCCCAUAUAGUGGUGGUGGGAGCUUGUGCCAUGAUUAACAAUGUAUUGUGACUGCAAAACAGAUGAUUUUCUUGUCGCCUCUGAAGUGAUACCCAGCUUGAGGAGAGCACAGUUCCAAAGUGUCACUGGUGGCAUCCAUAAAUGUUCCUUUCCCACAUACACAGUGGUUGCACUGUAGAGACUCUGUGGACACAUCAGUGUGAAAGAAAAAUACUGAAAUACUGAAGAUGGUUUAUUUGAUGAGGAGGGCAAAUUCAGCUGCUCUCAUGCUAGCAGAAUCGUGCGUGCCCAGCAUGCCUACAAGUAUCUAUUCUAGUAAAACUAUUAGACCAAUCCGUGAGCCUGCGCCUGACCCACCACAGCUAGCAAGCUUCCUGAGUAAUUCCUGGGCAUGGUUAGAGACCUGUAGGUGGUUUGCAUGCAGCAGCCCUGUUUUAGAGGAUGAGACAAUUUAUUAGCAUAGAUGCAAGCUAUUCAAUGCCAGUUGGCCUCAGCACCUGGGAGUGCUCCUAGGCACAUCUAAUUUAUUAUUGUAGACAGAGCGUUUGUGCAUACUGCUGUGGGAUACCUUGGCAAUGUUCAUAGUGCUGUGUGGCCCAAAUCAAUUUGAAUAUGAAAGCAUCUUUUCUCCUUUCUGAAAUAUGAGUAUGUGCUGUUAUUUCAGGAGAGUUCAGUGUGCCCUCUACCAGCCUGGCUGAUGAGGCCAUCUCCUGCUAUGCGAGCACCUGGCAGGAGAUGGCUCAGUUGUGCACUGAACCGCUGCAUAAUGGAAGCAGGACCAGUUUUAGGCAAACUGAAAGCAAAAUGGCACUGUCUGCAACCCAGCUGAGGUGCCAGGCAGCCUGGUGUUCUUCAAAGUCAUGGGGCAGGAGGUAAAUGGCACAACAAUUACACAGAUAAUGCAAAGAGCUUUUGCCGGCGUGGGCUCAGGACAGCAUCAGUUCGCAGGUCUGGCACAGGCAGCUAAAAACCUCAUCUGUCAUCAUUGGGAGCGGUCCAAAAGAGGCAGGCAUGGAAAGGGCUUUGUGCGCCCGGAGCUUUGUGUGGCAAG
rnacentral:lncRNA from 1 species